AUAGAAGUUAACAGAUAGAGAUAAACAGCGCUCUAGACGAUACACGCCAACAUGAGGCAGGCACUAUUGGUUCUUUUUGUACUACUGGUGGCGUCAUCUUUGUGCUUUGAAAGUGUCGACGCCAUGUGGAAUAUAUUCACCCAACAGCACAAGGGACAUGGUCGACGUUCUGUUGAAAAAAACCUACACAGUCGAGGGAUGAACCAAAUGAAAACAAAACAGUGGAGGGACAGCAUUGCAAGACGUAAAAGAAAUCAGACGUAACUGCAACUUUGUUUGUGAAUUGAUCAAUGCCGCUCAGUAAACGUACCCGACCUAUUUUUAUUUUUCACACAGGAAUUUAAAAUGUAAUAGAUACGUGUAGUAUAUUAUUUGUAGUUUUCACGUGCACGUGAUAAUCUGUUAGAUGACGUCAACAAUAUGUAGGCUCAUUCGACGUGUGUUAACAAGAUGCAAGUGCUAUUUUAAUGAUUUCAACGACGAGCUGCGUCGAGUUGACAACAAUGACGAUUUGAAUAAAUACGAUAUUCGGACAAAUUAUGAGCAUAUCGUACAUGGUGCAUAUUCUUGUGUAUAAAAUAUAUUAAAUUUGCCGAACACGUUUUACUAAAUUGGAGCUGUAAAUAUUACAAGAUUUUUUUCUAUUAUUGACUGUAAUGCACUCUAAA